AUUCACGCUGGCGGCGUGCAUAACACAUGCAAGUCGAACGAUGAAACUCAUUAGAUUUCUUCGGAAUGAAAAUGAAUGGAUUAGUGGCGAACGGGUGAGUAACGCGUGAGUAACCUGCCUUACACAAGGGGAUAGCCUCUGGAAACGGAGAAUAAUACCCUAUGAAACCAGACAAUCGCAUGAUAAUCUGGUCAAAAUGUUUAGUGGUGUAAGAUGGACUUGCGUCUGAUUAGCCAGUUGGUGAGAUAAAAGCUCACCAAGGCAACGAUCAGUAGCCGGCUUGAGAGAGUGUACGGCCACAUUGGGACUGAGACACGGCCCAGACUCCUACGGGAGGCAGCAGUGGGGAAUUUUGCACAAUGGGGGAAACCCUGAUGCAGCGACGCCGCGUGAUUUAGAAGGCCUUCGGGUUGUAAAAAUCUUUUGUAUAGGAAGAAAAUGACAGUACUAUACGAAUAAGGUCCGGCUAAUUACGUG
rnacentral:rRNA from 1 species